CGCAAAAGAUUCUGGAAGAUUUCAUCAUCAGAAAGCCCCCUGAGUGGCUAAUUAAUUCCUGGCUGUUGCUGGUCUUUCCCCCAUAAAAAUAGAGAAUUCUGAAGGGACGAUAUUCCUGUAUAUGCUCAGUAGAGAGAAGACAUGAGCCUCCAGUAAGAAAGGGAGAUGAAUUUCCUUGGAUGCAGUUAGGAACUGGUGGUUAGACAAGAGUGAUCACCCUGCCUGCUACCUCCUUUCUGUCAAGCCCUGAAAUCAAAGUAGGAACAGGGUCCUGCCAAGGCUGUUCUUGUAUGCAGUGUCAUGUGCAGCAUGCUCAAUUCCUCAUGAGAAAAACACAAGCCUGCAAAGCAUAGCAUGUUCCAUAUCCCCUGCAAUUUCAGGGGAUGCUGGGCAUCAAGACCUACUGGAGAUGGGCUCAAGGUCCAUACGGAGUCAGUGCUGCACCACAAAAAUAACCUCAACGUGCAGUGGGAGCUGGUGCAGGAGUUGGGUGUGGGCCCCAUGCCCCACUCAGAAUCCCUGGCUGCACUGAUCCAACCCCCAUGUACCCAGACUUCAGCCAGCGUAAAAAGACACUUGCUCCCCGUGUGGACUGUAGAAACAGCUGUGCAGUGUUAUCUUUCCAGCUCUCCCAGAGGCACUGAAGCCUCAGAGCAUGAGAGCUCUCUGCAGUAACAGCUGGGGGAGGUGGCACAGGUGGUGCUGUAUUGCUUCCCAGGACCACAGGUCGCUGCUGCACACUGGGUGGAGGAGACGUGAGGCAUGGGUAGCUCAGUGCAGCAGACCCAGUCUGACACACAUGCUGCCAUGCAUC